rnacentral:rRNA from 1 species
GACGAACGCUGGCGGCGUGCUUAACACAUGCAAGUCGAACGGAAAGGCCCUGCUUUUGUGGGGUGCUCGAGUGGCGAACGGGUGAGUAACACGUGAGUAACAUGCCCUUGACUUUGGGAUAACUUCAGGAAACUGGGGCUAAUACCGGAUAGGAGCUCCUGCUGCAUGGUGGGGGUUGGAAAGUUUCGGCGGUUGGGGAUGGACUCGCGGCUUAUCAGCUUGUUGGUGGGGUAGUGGCUUACCAAGGCUUUGACGGGUAGCCGGCCUGAGAGGGUGACCGGCCACAAUGGGACUGAGAUACGGCCCAGACUCCUACGGGAGGCAGCAGUGGGGAAUAUUGCACAAUGGGCGGAAGCCUGAUGCAGCAACGCCGCGUGCGGGAUGACGGCCUUCGGGUUGUAAACCGCUUUCGCCUGUGACGAAGCGUGAGUGACGGUAAUGGGUAAAGAAGCACCGGCUAACUACGUG